AGCUUCAGCUCCUAAUGCAAGAGCCUAGUGGUCGGAUGGACCUUGCGCACAGCUGCUCAUUUAAUCCCCAGGGUCUCGCCCCGUGCUGAACGGAGUCCGCAUUUAUUGCCAACCCUGGGCCUGGAGCUGUGAUUCACAUGAGUCUGCUCCCAGAAAGAGCGUGGCUGAACUGAAGUCUUGCUGUGAUUCACUGAAAGCACGAACGGUCCUCAGCUCAGCGAAAC
rnacentral:lncRNA from 1 species